CAAAGCAGAGAAGAGGAACUGAGAACACCUUAAAAUCUUCAAAAGAGAACACUGAGAACUCUUUAAAAUCUUUAAAACACAUUUUUUUUUUCCCCAGCUCCUGUGAUAAUGUCACUUUCCUGCCUGGAUAAUUCCUUUGCCUGUCCCUUUGCCAUAAUUUCAGCCUCAAACCUGUGUGAAACAACCUCAGCUCAUACAUGGACAGCUGUAAAUUCCCAAAUGUCUUUAACUUGGAUCUGUGAAUCCAAGUUCAAGUUAAUCCCUGUGAAUUUCAAGUCCCUUUUCUGUUCUGUCUGGACCAAUGCUCUGUGAGAAGCCAGCUGGAACUCCAGUGAAGAUAUUAAGAAAAAAGCACCAGGAGGUUUUAUUAAAACAAAAAAAUUAAGCUAUUAAAAGAAAAUCAGGUUCUAAGAGCUGAGAGAUCCUCAGACACUGGAGUUUGGUGUCUGAGUACAGAAAAUAACAGAGAACUUGUUAGGGCUGAGUUAAUGUCCCGUUUCACACAGUCCUUGGCGUGGGAUAAGAGUUUGUAAGAGAACCUCAGAGCCAGGAAUUCCUUUCACACAUCAAACCUGAAUUUCCCUGGAAAGUUUGAACCCAUUCCCCUUUUUCCUGUCAGUUCCUGAUGGAGAAUCCCUCUGUGAUUUCCCUGGGAUUUCCUCCAGACAGUGGAAGGAAUUUUCCAGGAUUUAGCUGGGCAAAACCAUCUCAGUGCCACAGAAACCCAACAACUUCAAGGGUCAGCAAGGUCCCUACAAGAGUUUAGGAAACAAGAAACCUCUCUGAGCCUUAAAGUAAACCUUGAUGGGGACACCUCUGCUGUGGUGACAACACUCAGGUCACCUCUGCUAUGGUGACAACACUUGGGUCACCUCUACUAUGGUGACAACACUCAGGUCACCUCUGCUAUGGUGACAGCCCUCAGGUCACUUCUGCUAUGGUGACAUUGUUCAGGUCACCUCAGCUAUGGUGACAACACUCAGGUCACCUCUGCUAUGGUGACAACACUCAGGUCACCUCUGCUAUGGUGACAGCCCUCCCACAGCUGAGGAAGAAUUAGGACACACACCCACCCACCCAGCACAUUCACACAGCUCCUGCCCACACAGAGCUGGGAACAGGAGCAGGACACACCUCAGGACAUCUGAUAAUGAAUUCUUACAAAAAGCAGCCCAA